rnacentral:rRNA from 1 species
UUAGCAUAUCAAUAAGCGGAGGAAAAGAAACCAACAGGGAUUGCCUCAGUAACGGCGAGUGAAGCGGCAACAGCUCAAAUUUGAAAUCUGGCUCUUUCAGGGUCCGAGUUGUAAUUUGUAGAAGAUGCUUUGGGUGUGGCCCUGGUCUAAGUUCCUUGGAACAGGACGUCAUAGAGGGUGAGAAUCCCGUAUGUGACUGGGUGUCCACGCCCGUGUAAAGCUCUUUCGACGAGUCGAGUUGUUUGGGAAUGCAGCUCAAAAUGGGUGGUAAAUUUCAUCUAAAGCUAAAUAUUGGCCAGAGACCGAUAGCGCACAAGUAGAGUGAUCGAAAGAUGAAAAGCACUUUGGAAAGAGAGUUAAACAGUACGUGAAAUUGUUGAAAGGGAAGCGCUUGCAAUCAGACUUGCGCGCCGUUGAUCAUCCAGGGUUCUCUCUGGUGCACUCUGCGGCGCUCAGGCCAGCAUCGGUUCGGGUGGUGGGAUAAAGGCCUUGGGAAUGUGACUCCUCUCGGGGAGUGUUAUAGCCCUCGGUGCAAUGCCGCCUACCUGGACCGAGGACCGCGCUUCGGCUAGGAUGCUGGCGUAAUGGUUGUAAGCGACCCGUCUUGAAACACGGACCAAGGAGUCUAACAUCUAUGCGAGUGUUUGGGUGUCAAACCCAUGCGCGUAAUGAAAGUGAACGUUGGUAUGAACCCUUAAGGGUGCAAUAUCGACCGAUCCUGAUGUCUUCGGACGGAUUUGAGUAUGAGCAUAGCUGUUGGGACCCGAAAGAUGGUGAACUAUGCCUGAAUAGGGUGAAGCCAGAGGAAACUCUGGUGGAGGCUCGCAGCGGUUCUGACGUGCAAAUCGAUCGUCAAAUUUGGGUAUAGGGGCGAAAGACUAAUCGAACCAUCUAGUAGCUGGUUCCUGCCGAAG